rnacentral:rRNA from 1 species
GGGKGCGUUUGUUACUUCAAACCAAUCGGACUUCGGUCUGACAUCAAGUGAUAUUGAACAAUUUAGCUGAUCGCACGGUCUAAGAACCGGCGACAUAUCCUUCAAAUGUCUGCCUUAUCAACUUUCGAUGGUAGAUUAUGCGCCUACCAUGGUUGUAACGGGUAACGGAGAAUCGGGGUUUGAUUCCGGAGAGGGAGCCUGAGAAACGGCUACCACAUCCAAGGAAGGCAGCAGGCACGCAAAUUACCCACUCCCGGCACGGGGAGGUAGUGACGAAAAAUAACAAGCUGGUCUCAAUGAGUUCCAGCAUUGUAAUGGGAACAAUUUAAAUCUUUUAUCGAGGAUCUAUUGGAGGGCAAGUCUGGUGCCAGCRGCCGCGGUAAUUCCAGCUCCAAUAGCGUAUAUUAAAGUUGUUGCGGUUAAAAAGCUCGUAGUUGGAUCUAGGAUUAGGGCUACGGUCGUUCAGCUUGGACGUACUGUAUGCCCGACUCCUUUUCUCUAGUAUUCGAUUGUUGCUCUUAAAUGAGUGACUUUAGUUGCUGGAACUUUUACCUUGAAAAAAUUGAAGUGCUCAAA